rnacentral:rRNA from 1 species
AUUGAACGCUGGCGGCAUGCCUUACACAUGCAAGUCGAACGGCAGCGGGGGAGAAGCUUGCUUUUCCUGCCGGCGAGUGGCGAACGGGUGAGUAAUACAUCGGAACGUGCCCUGUAGUGGGGGAUAACUAGUCGAAAGAUUAGCUAAUACCGCAUACGACCUGAGGGUGAAAGUGGGGGACCGCAAGGCCUCAUGCUAUAGGAGCGGCCGAUGUCUGGUUAGCUAGUUGGUGGGGUAAAGGCCUACCAAGGCGACGAUCAGUAGCUGGUCUGAGAGGACGAUCAGCCACACUGGGACUGAGACACGGCCCAGACUCCUACGGGAGGCAGCAGUGGGGAAUUUUGGACAAUGGGCGAAAGCCUGAUCCAGCAAUGCCGCGUGUGUGAAGAAGGCCUUCGGGUUGUAAAGCACUUUCGUCCGGAAAGAAAUGGCUCUGGUUAAUACCUGGGGUCGAUGACGGUACCGGAAGAAUAAGGACCGGCUAACUACGUGCCAGCAGCCGCGGUAA